UACGGGGGGGGCAAGCGUUGUUCGGAAUUACUGGGCGUAAAGGGCUCGUAGGUGGCCAACUAAGUCAGACGUGAAAUCCCUCGGCUUAACCGGGGAACUGCGUCUGAUACUGGAUGGCUUGAGUUCGGGAGAGGGAUGCGGAAUUCCAGGUGUAGCGGUGAAAUGCGUAGAUAUCUGGAGGAACACCGGUGGCGAAGGCGGCAUCCUGGACCGACACUGACACUGAGUGCGCGAAAGCCAGGGGAGCAAACGGG
rnacentral:rRNA from 1 species